rnacentral:pre_miRNA from 1 species
CUUGUACUCCCUCCGUCCGAAAAUGCUUGUCAUUGAAAUGGAUGUAUCUAGAUGUAUUUUAGUUCUAGACACAUCCAUUUUGAGACAAGUAAUUCCGGACGGAGGGAGUACUUG